UGGGGAAUUUUGGACAAUGGGCGAAAGCCUGAUCCAGCCAUGCCGCGUGAGUGAAGAAGGCCUUCGGGUUGUAAAGCUCUUUCAGUCGGAAAGAAAAGGCGUCAGUGAAUACCUGGCGUCGAUGACGGUACCGACAGAAGAAGCACCGGCUAACUACGUGCCAGCAGCCGCGGUAAUACGUAGGGUGCGAGCGUUAAUCGGAAUUACUGGGCGUAAAGCGUGCGCAGGCGGUUGCAUAAGACAGAUGUGAAAUCCCCGGGCUCAACCUGGGAACUGCGUUUGUGACUGUGCGACUGGAGUACGGUAGAGGGGGGUGGAAUUCCUGGUGUAGCAGUGAAAUGCGUAGAUAUCAGGAGGAACAUCGAUGGCGAAGGCAGCCCCCUGGACCUGUACUGACGCUCAUGCACGAAAGCGUGGGGAGCAAACA
rnacentral:rRNA from 1 species